rnacentral:misc_RNA from 1 species
GAUGAAGAAGUGGCGAAAUGCGAUAAGUAGUGUGAAUUGCAGAAUUCAGUGAAUCAUCGAAUCUUUGAACGCACAUUGCGCCCCAUGGUAUUCCGUGGGGCAUGCCUGUUCGAGCGUCAUUUACCCCCUCAAGCUCCGCUUGGUGUUGGGCGUCUGUCCCGCUUCGCGCGCGGACUCGCCCCAAAGGUAUUGGCAGCGGUCGUGCCAGCUUCUCGCGCAGCACAUUGCGCUUCUCGAGGCACCGGUGGGCCCGCGUCCAUCAAGCUCACCCCCCCAGUUUGACCUCGGAUCAGGUAGGGAUACCCGCUGAACUUAAGCAUAUCAAUAAGCGGAGGA